AGUCUAUUCAAGCAUAUUCUAAAGGGGACCUCUGAUGUUUGUUUUUAACCUAAGGCUUCUGGUGAGUGAGAGAAAUAGAAGUCAGAAAGUCUAGUGAGAUUUACAACAGAAAGAGAAGAAUAAGUCAGAUCCAGCAAGGAAUUUGGAAGGCUACUAGCUACAUAUUGGAAGGAGCAAGGCUGAGGUAAAAGAACAAAGUCCCUUCUGUGAAGCAGGAAGGAUUUUUUUCACUGAGUUAUUUUAGAAGACUUGAAUGGACUGCUAA